GACGAACGCUGGCGGCGUGCUUAACACAUGCAAGUCGAACGGAAAGGCCCUUCGGGGUACUCGAGUGGCGAACGGGUGAGUAACACGUGGGUGAUCUGCCCUGCACUUUGGGAUAAGCCUGGGAAACUGGGUCUAAUACCGAAUAGGACCACGCGCUUCAUGGUGUGUGGUGGAAAGCUUUUGCGGUGUGGGAUGGGCCCGCGGCCUAUCAGCUUGUUGGUGGGGUAAUGGCCUACCAAGGCGACGACGGGUAGCCGGCCUGAGAGGGUGACCGGCCACACUGGGACUGAGAUACGGCCCAGACUCCUACGGGAGGCAGCAGUGGGGAAUAUUGCACAAUGGGCGCAAGCCUGAUGCAGCGACGCCGCGUGAGGGAUGACGGCCUUCGGGUUGUAAACCUCUUUCAAUAGGGACGAAGCGCAAGUGACGGUACCUAUAGAAGAAGCACCGGCCAACUACGUGCCAGCAGCCGCGGUAAUACGUAGGGUGCGAGCGUUGUCCGGAAUUACUGGGCGUAAAGAGCUCGUAGGUGGUUUGUCGCGUUGUUCGUGAAAACUCACAGCUUAACUGUGGGCGUGCGGGCGAUACGGGCAGACUAGAGUACUGCAGGGGAGACUGGAAUUCCUGGUGUAGCGGUGGAAUGCGCAGAUAUCAGGAGGAACACCGGUGGCGAAGGCGGGUCUCUGGGCAGUAACUGACGCUGAGGAGCGAAAGCGUGGGGAGCGUACAGGAUUAGAUACCCUGGUAGUCCACGCCGUAAACGGUGGGUACUAGGUGUGGGUUCCUUCCUUGGGAUCCGUGCCGUAGCUAACGCAUUAAGUACCCCGCCUGGGGAGUACGGCCGCAAGGCUAAAACUCAAAGGAAUUGACGGGGGCCCGCACAAGCGGCGGAGCAUGUGGAUUAAUUCGAUGCAACGCGAAGAACCUUACCUGGGUUUGACAUGCACAGGACGCCGGCAGAGAUGUCGGUUCCCUUGUGGCCUGUGUGCAGGUGGUGCAUGGCUGUCGUCAGCUCGUGUCGUGAGAUGUUGGGUUAAGUCCCGCAACGAGCGCAACCCUUGUCCUAUGUUGCCAGCGGGUUAUGCCGGGGACUCGUAGGAGACUGCCGGGGUCAACUCGGAGGAAGGUGGGGAUGACGUCAAGUCAUCAUGCCCCUUAUGUCCAGGGCUUCACACAUGCUACAAUGGCCGGUACAAAGGGCUGCGAUGCCGUGAGGUGGAGCGAAUCCUUUCAAAGCCGGUCUCAGUUCGGAUCGGGGUCUGCAACUCGACCCCGUGAAGUCGGAGUCGCUAGUAAUCGCAGAUCAGCAACGCUGCGGUGAAUACGUUCCCGGGCCU
rnacentral:rRNA from 1 species